rnacentral:rRNA from 1 species
GAUCUUGGUUCAGGAUGAACGCUAGCUACAGGCUUAACACAUGCAAGUCGAGGGGCAGCAUUGGAGUAGCAAUACUCAGAUGGCGACCGGCGCACGGGUGAGUAACACGUAUCCAACCUGCCGCUUACUCGGGGAUAGCCUUUCGAAAGAAAGAUUAAUACCGAUGGUAUAAAGAGUUCGCAUGUUCUCUUUAUUAAAGAAUUUCGGUAAGCGAUGGGGAUGCGUUCCAUUAGAUAGUUGGCGGGGUAACGGCCCACCAAGUCUACGAUGGAUAGGGGUUCUGAGAGGAAGGUCCCCCACAUUGGAACUGAGACACGGUCCAAACUCCUACGGGAGGCAGCAGUGAGGAAUAUUGGUCAAUGGACGAGAGUCUGAACCAGCCAAAAGUAGCGUGAAGGAUGACUGCCCUAUGGGUUGUAAACUUCUUUUAUAAGGGAAUAAAGUGAGGGACGUGUCCCUUUUUGUAUGUACCUUAUGAAUAAGGAUCGGCUAACUCCGUGCCAGCCGCCGC